GCGGGGAGUGGAGCGGCGUCUGUUGUCACGACUUGCCAGCGGAUAGGAGAAUCGCGCGGUUCCAUCGCAGGAAGUGGAGCAGGAUCGUGGCCGUUAUUGUGGCCUGCCAGGGAGUAGUGGAACUGCGUGGAAUCCGCCGCAGGAAGUGGAGCAGGAUCGUGGCCGUUAUUGUGGUCUGCCAGGGAGUGCAGAUCCGUCGACUGAAGUUCGGCCAGCAGACGGAGCCUGGCUCCUGUAGGAGUCCGGGCGGAGUCUACUUGCGGUUGAAGUUGUUGGCGGAGUCCGGCUCCCGUAGGAGUCCGGACGAAGUCUGUCUGCAGC
rnacentral:lncRNA from 1 species